GUGGGAUCAGAUCGAGACGGAGAUCCAAGAAAAUCAUCCAAAACAGAGAGUCCGUCAUUUUUGUGGAAUGGAGUUUCCAUCAUCAUCCUCUUCAUCCAGAAAGAGAGAGAGAGAGAGGGAUGAUGGGGAAUCUUGUUUUGGGAAAGGGCUUCACAGGAAACCAGCUGGAUCCGGCUGGAUGCUCCUCCCUCCUUCUGCACAGGUGAAUCAUGGGAAACAAGGCGUGAUGAUUGGGCCUGUGUCUCCUGAAGAGAAAGAAGAAGAGGACAAAACAUGAGCCGUUAUUUCCUCCUUUUUAUUUCUAUCAUCCCUUCAUUUUUCAGACAGUUCAUCUGUUCCUCCCUCAAACACACGAGUCGGACGUGACCCGCUGUGUUUCCUCUCACUUCAAACCUCUGCUGAUUUAUUCAUGAGCUGUUUCAACGUCAAUAAUUCAGGAUGUAGUUUGAAACACGAGAGCUGUUAUUGUUGGGAGUUUAUCAAAGAUGCUGAAGGGAUUUAAAAGUGUUCAUUCAAGCUCUCUUAGCCGCUACAUUGAAAUGUAGUUUGUUGUUUUUGUUAGCUCACAGCUGCAUCACAAGAUUCCAGGAUGUCAGGGAAUCGAGGGAUUGUUCCUGCUAAUAACACCAAGACUUCGCCUCUGCUGUCUGCUCCGUCAUAAGUUAUAUUCAAGAACCAGAACCGUCCACCAUCUCCUGCAGCUCUGUGCAGUUUGCUCUUGUUUCGUGUCUGAUUGUGGAGGUAACUGAUGCUGCUGGAUGGGCGCAACUGAGCAUGUGCACUGCAGUCUGAGCGGGACAAGGAGCAACACAUUUUCUAACCGUAGCUUUGUUUGAUUUUUUUAUAGUUUUGUCACGUUUGUGGAAAUGGAAGUGAACAGAGACUAGAGAAGGGAUUUUUGUUGGUCGAUAUUUUUAAUAAAUUCUCAGUUUGUUUGAUUUUA